rnacentral:rRNA from 1 species
GCCCACUCCGCCUCGUUCUCCUCCCCACUCGCUCUUAUCCUCCCCCAUGCUGCCGCCCCCUUCCCCCUGCUCGCCUCUGCCGCCUCCUCUCCUUCCCGCACCUCCGGCCUACCCCCCUCCUCCCUCCUCCUCCAUCCUCUCUCAUUCGUCAUCACGGCAGACCAUCUCCCGUCACUUAGGCCCCAUGCCGGCGGCCGGGUCGGGGUGGAGGCGCAGCAGGGGUUGGUGGAGCGGCGGAUGUGGGCGGGCUCCCGUCGCUGCUCCAUGACGGCGGCCAGUUCAAUGGGUAGGGGUAGAAAGCCAUGGAGAACUUGGGAGAGGAGGAAGGCGACGGUCCAGCCCGCGGCGUUGGGCAGAGAGAGAUGGGGACGGCGGCGCUGGGAAAAGAGAGAUGUCGGCGAAGGUGGCGGUGGCGCUGAGUAGAGAGAGCAUGGCGUCGGCGGUAGUUGUUCUCCUCCUCCUCCUCUCCAUUCUUCUCCCGGCGUUUCCAGAAGCCUCCUCGUCCAACGCACGCCCCGAGGUGAGCACGACGAAUCCCAACCCAGUACUCUUCGAAUCCGCGUCCAUUCUCGGCCCCUGCUCGCGCGCCUCGCCGAUUGCCCCGAGGUUCCGACGCCCCCGCUAUGGAUUUUCCCUCGCGCUGUUCUCCCUGGCUCGUGUCGGGGGUGCGAUUCGUGUUCGUUCUGGGAGGGGCGGCGCGCCCGUCCGAUCCGUCGCAGUGGGGUGCCGUGGCGGCGCUCUUGGGCGGGUUCUGGGGAGGUGUCUUCGUGAUUUGUCGUGGGUUAGUGUUGGCUCCUGCGGUACGGAUGGCUGGCUAGGGUUACUCCCAAAUUUUCCCGUUCUCGUGGUAUUCUCAACGAAAAAUAGACGGAUUGGGUUGGAUUGGAGGCCCUGCCAGUAUUAAAUUAUUUCCAAAGCAUGUCGUCGCGUUGAUAAUCGGAUAGUGUAUGCAUUCUUCAUGUCAGGAUCAGGCCUGGUAUUGUGUUUCUGGAUUCCGAUUCGUAGAUGAUUGGUUUGCUAUCUUGUGUCGUUACAAGUUUUGCUUGCUUUUAGAAGAAAAUGGCGUGCAAUUGGGUGUGCAAGAUAGCUUAGCACUGGCUAAAAUCCCGUAGGUGCUUUUAUUGGUAAUCAGGACUGCUACAUUGGAUCCCCGUAACUAAGGAGGGUGUGGGCUAUAGGAGCGCGAGGAUUGGAAACCUUUUCCUCCAUAAUCUUGCCGAGGUGCUCCUCAACUCGACAAGGAGAGCAACCUGCAUGAGGUUUGCACAUUCCCUCACCUCCCUCCAUUGCUGAUCUCCAUCUUAUCU